CAGCAGCCGCGGUAAAACGUAGGGUGCAAGCGUUGUCCGGAAUUAUUGGGCGUAAAGAGCUCGUAGGCGGUUCGUCGCGUCGGCUGUGAAAUCCCGAGGCUCAACCUCGGGUCUGCAGUCGAUACGGGCGGACUUGAGUACUGCAGGGGAGACUGGAAUUCCUGGUGUAGCGGUGAAAUGCGCAGAUAUCAGGAGGAACACCGGUGGCGAAGGCGGGUCUCUGGGCAGUAACUGACGCUGAGGAGCGAAAGCGUGGGGAGCGAACAGGAUUAGAUACCCCCGUAGUCACUGUCUCUUAUAA
rnacentral:rRNA from 1 species